rnacentral:lncRNA from 1 species
UUAGAGAUAAUGACAAUUAUCAUUAAUCACAUUCAAUAUAACAUCUUCAAAGUGACCACCAAUAUCCAUCAGGAAAACAAAAAAACAAGCACCAAAUUUAUAUAUCUUCAUCUUGUUCUUCCAAAUCUUGAAAUUCUUCGUCCAUAUCAUCUAUAUUCUUCUAGAAUAAAAUGAAAAUGUUCAAUAAGUUAUGUGUACAAAAAUUCCCUUGGACAAUACAAAUUUCAAACAUGGUAAUAGCAAAUAGAGGCAAAGAACCAUACACGGGUAAACUAAAAUGCUAUAUUUGAGCACAUAAGAUUAUUACUUUUCUAUAUCAUAAGAAAUUUAAACAGAUAAAAACAAAGAGAAAGAGAUGAAAACCUUAUUUAUUUUUUGCUUUAGAUGUAUCAACUUGCCGAGCCUCAUUGAAGGCUAC